rnacentral:rRNA from 1 species
UACGUAGGGGGCAAGCGUUGUCCGGAUUUAUUGGGCGUAAAGAGCGUGUAGGCGGCCUGAAAGGUCAGCUGUGAAAACUCGAGGCUCAACCUCGAGACGUCGGUUGAAACCAUCUGGCUAGAGUCCGGAAGAGGAGUGUGGAAUUCCCGGUGUAGCGGUGAAAUGCGUAGAUAUCAGGAGGAACACCUGUGGUGUAGACAGCUCACUGGACCAUUUCUGACGCUGAGACACGAAAGCGUGGGUAGCAAACAGG